rnacentral:rRNA from 1 species
UUAAAAUGUAAUUAAAAAUAUAAAAGUAGUAUUAGUUAUGUUCUUGAAACUUAAAAAAUUUGGCGGUAUUUUAGUCUAUUCAGAGGAACCUGUUCUAUAAUCGAUAAUCCACGAUGGACCUUACUUAAAUUUGUAAAUCAGUUUAUAUACCGUCGUUAUUAGAAUAUUUUAUAAGAAUAAUAAUUUUCUUAAAAUUUUAUUAAAUUUUAUAUCAGAUCAAGGUGUAGCUUAUAUUUAAGUAGAAAUGGGUUACAAUAAAUUUAUUUAAACGGAGAUAAAUAUGAAAAAUUUAUUGAAGGUGGAUUUGAUAGUAAAAUUAUAAAGAUUAAUAAUUUGAUUUUAGCUCUAAAAUAUGU